GUAAUAGUGAAUAUCGCUCACUCGCUCCGGCGUCCAGAAAGUUCCAAAGAUUCUUAUAAACACGGCCGUUUUCAAAAACAACAGAGCUCUAAAAGUUUCGAGAGCCUUCGCUCAAACCAUUUCGUAAGGUAAACGAAGAUCCAAUCAAAGUUCUCGAACUAUUUUUUUCUUUCAGCAAGAAUUGUGUUUGAUUGUGUGCAUUAACGGUCCCGAAUCUGAACUCAACAUUGCUAUGUGAUAAUUUUCUGUUUCUCGAUUGGUUUCAUAUCGUCAAUUCAAUGCCGUAAAAAUCAACUACGAUUUUAUUUGGCGUUGUAGAUAAAUCUCUGCUGUUCGUCUGCUUUUCAUCUCUUCGCAACCGGAAAAGAUGUCGGAGUACGAGAAUGUGGUGGUGGAGAAAUUGAGGCUGAAGGGGAAGGCCUUAGGUGUAAAAGGAGAUGGAAUUAGAAAGAAGAAGAAGCAGAAGAAGCGAAUUGACGAAUUCUCUCGACUUGUGAGAGAAGACGAUCAUGAUCUCUCAGAUUGUUAGGAAGGAAUAUUACUUCAUUGGUCGAUUGUUCUAAAGAAACCGAUGGUGGCGGCAGUGGCAAAGGUUUAUACGACGAUAUGUUAACAGCCGCGGAGAGGCGAUAUCUUCGACAAUGGGAGAAGAUUAAUCUUCAAAGAAUGGCGAAGAUGGCCAGCAAAUCUCACAGAGAUCGAAUUCAAGAAUUCAAUCAAUGUUUGGCAAAUUUGAGUGAGCACCAUGACAUACCUAAAGUUGGGCCUGGCUAAUUCAAUCAACUAUCUCCUAAGUCCUCGUUAUUGCUUCACCAAUUUUACUCACUCUAUCUUUAAUUGUUCAAUUGUAGUUCAUGUGAAAUAUAGAACAAAUGUCUAAACGCUUUGUCUCUUCGAGGCUUUUGGAAUGGUUUUUCCAUUGUAUACAUGUGUUAACCAAUAUAUAUACACAUGUGCGUAAUUUCAUUUCAUUCAUAUAAUGUUGAGCGUUACUUAGCUUAAUUGUAAUUGAAAUGAUUUAUUAAGACAUCA